UCCGUAGGUGAACCUGCGGAAGGAUCAUUACGAAUACGGACGUCACGUCCGCCUUCAUCCACAUCCCUUGUGAAUUCAUCCCUGUUGCUUCGGCGGGCCUGCGUCCCACGCGCCCGACUGUCUUCCGUCUACCCGGAGGGCGGUUGGAGCGCCCGCCAGAAGACCAGUUUUUAAACCUUUUGUUUUGGUGCAUGUCUGAAUCUUACCUAAUAAAUAAAACUUUCAACAACGGAUCUCUUGGUUCUCGCAUCGAUGAAGAACGCAGCGAAAUGCGAUAAGUAAUGUGAAUUGCAGAAUUCAGUGAAUCAUCGAAUCUUUGAACACACAUUGCGCCCUUUGGUAUUCCGAGGGGCACGUCUGUGUGAACGUCAUUUAAACACCCAAGCCCUGCUUGGUGAUGGAGACGGCUUUCGCCGUCGUCCGCAAUCCGUCGGCUGCGGCGCCCGUCCGUGAAAGUAGUGAGACACAUCUUUCUGCGGAUGUCGGCAUGCCCUGCAGGCCCAACGAACCCCCCAAAUACUUGACUUCACAUCAGGCGAGGUUACCCGCUGAACUUAAGCAUAUCAAUAAGCGGAGGAAAAGAAACCAACUGGGAUUGCCUCAGUAACGGCGAGUGAAGCGGCAAGAGCUCAAAUUUGAAAUCUGGCUUCGGCCCGAAUUGUAAUUUGUAGAGGUGUCUUUGGCGUACGUGUCGGUCCACGUUCCUUGGAACAGGAUGGCGUAGAGGGUGAGAUCCCCGUUCACGACCGGUGACCGUCGCCAUGUAUAGACCCUUCGACGAGUCGAGUUGUUUGGGAAUGCAGCUCAAAAUGGGUGGUAAAUUUCAUCUAAAGCUAAAUAUUGGCGAGAGACCGAUAGCGCACAAGUAGAGUGAUCGAAAGAUGAAAAGCACUUUGAAAAGAGAGUCAAAAAGUACGUGAAAUUGUUGAAAGGGAAGCGCUUGCAACCAGACUCUUUUGCGGUUGAUCAUCACCCCUUCUGGGUUGUGCACUCUGCCGUUUUAGGGACAGCAUCGGUUGAUGCGGCGGGACAAAGGCGGCGGGAAUGUGGCUCUCUUCGGGGAGUGUUAUAGCCCGCUGUGCAAUGCCGUCAGCGUCGACCGAGGACUGCGUUAUGCCAGGAUGCUGUCAUAAUGGUUGUCAGCGACCCGUCUUGAAACACGGACCAAGGAGUCUAACAUCUAUGCGAGUGUUCGGGUGUCAAACCCAAGCGCGUAAUGAAAGUGAACGGGGUGGGAGCCCGCAAGGGUGCACCAUCGACCGAUCCUGA
rnacentral:misc_RNA from 1 species